UACGGAGGGUGCGAGCGUUGUCCGGAAUCAUUGGGCGUAAAGGGCGCGUAGGUGGCCCGGUCAGUUCGUGGUGAAAGCGCGGGGCUCAACCCUGCGUCGGCCAUGAAUACUGCCGCGGCUGGAGCACUGUAGAGGCAGGCGGAAUUCCGGGUGUAGCGGUGGAAUGCGUAGAGAUCGGGAAGAAUACCCGUGGCGAAGGCGGCCAGCUGGGCCAGGUCCGACACUGAGGCGCGAAAGCGUGGGGAGCAAACAGG
rnacentral:rRNA from 1 species